GUGGGGAAUAUUGGACAAUGGGUGCAAGCCUGAUCCAGCAAUGCCGCGUGGGUGAAGAAGGUUUUCGGAUUGUAAAGCCCUUUUGGCGGGGACGAUGAUGACGGUACCUGCAGAAUAAGCCCCGGCUAACUUCGUGCCAGCAGCCGCGGUAAUACGAAGGGGGCUAGCGUUGCUCGGAAUGACUGGGCGUAAAGGGCGCGUAGGCGGCGAUCAAAGUCAGGCGUGAAAUUCCUGGGCUCAACCUGGGGGCUGCGCUUGAUACUUGGUUGCUUGAGUGGGGAAGAGGGUCGUGGAAUUCCCAGUGUAGAGGUGAAAUUCGUAGAUAUUGGGAAGAACACCGGUGGCGAAGGCGGCGACCUGGUCCUUGACUGACGCUGAGGCGCGAAAGCGUGGGGAGCAAACAGGAUUAGAUACCCUGGUAGUCCACGCCGUAAACGAUGUCGAUUUGGAGGUUGUGCCCUUGAGGCGUGGCUUCCGGAGCUAACGCGUUAAAUCGACCGCCUGGGGAGUACGGCCGCAAGGUUAAAACUCAAAUGAAUUGACGGGGGCCCGCACAAGCGGUGGAGCAUGUGGUUUAAUUCGAUGCAACGCGAAGAACCUUACCUACUCUUGACAUCCACGGAACUUGCCAGAGAUGGCUUAGUGCCUUCGGGAACCGUGAGACAGGUGCUGCAUGGCUGUCGUCAGCUCGUGUUGUGAAAUGUUGGGUUAAGUCCCGCAACGAGCGCAACCCUUAUCCUUUGUUGCCAGCACGUAAUGGUGGGAACUCAAAGGAGACUGCCGGUGAUAAACCGGAGGAAGGUGGGGAUGACGUCAAGUCAUCAUGGCCCUUACGAGUAGGGCUACACACGUGCUACAAUGGCGUAUACAAAGAGAAGCGACCUCGCGAGAGUCAGCGGACCUCAUAAAGUACGUCGUAGUCCGGAUUGGAGUCUGCAACUCGACUCCAUGAAGUCGGAAUCGCUAGUAAUCGUAGAUCAGAAUGCUACGGUGAAUACGUUCCCGGGCCUUGUACACACCGCCC
rnacentral:rRNA from 1 species